GACGCUCGAGCUCAUCCGAGUUAAGCUCGCCAGCGCGCUUGUUCAGGUCGACAUCGGCCUUUUUGCAGACAAGGUUGGAGUAGCGACGACCAACACCCUUGAUCUCAGUCAAGGCAUACAUGACCUUGCGCUUGCCAUCGACGUUGGUGUUGAGGAGACGCAAGAUGUGCUGGAAUUGUUGGUGGGGUUCAGGCACGACGAGAGACAUGCUGGGCGACGGCAAAGCGACCGAUAG
rnacentral:misc_RNA from 1 species